rnacentral:rRNA from 1 species
GGGAGCCCGGAGAUGGGCACUGAGACAAGGGCCCAGGCCCUACGGGGCGCAGCAGUCGCGAAAACUUUGCAAUACACGAAAGUGUGACAGGGCUAUCCCGAGUGCCAUCCGCUGAGGAAGGCUUUUACCCAGUGUAGAUAGCUGGGGGAAUAAGGAGAGGGCAAGACUGGUGUCAGCCGCCGCGGUAAUACCAGCUCUCCGAGUGGUGUGGAUGUUUAUUGGGCCUAAAGCAUCCGUAGCUGGCUGGGCAAGUCCCCUGUUAAAUCCACCGAUUUAAUCGUUGGUGUGCGGGGGAUACUGCUCGGCUAGGGGACGGGAGAGGCCGACGGUAUUUUCGGGGUAGGGGUGAAAUCCUAUAAUCCCGGGAAGACCACCAGUGGCGAAGGCUGUCGGCUAGAACGCGCCCGACGGUGAGGGAUGAAAGCUGGGGGAGCGAACCGGAUUAGAUACCCGGGUAGUCCCAGCUGUAAACGAUGCAGGCUAGGUGUUUGGGCGGCCACGUGCCGCUCUAGUGCCGCAGGGAAGUCGUUAAGCCUGCCGCCUGGG